rnacentral:lncRNA from 1 species
AGCAGCCAUGGAACAACAACAGAUCUUGUUCUACACAUUUCUCUCCCUUAUCUCAAUCCUCUUCACUAUCAAGUUCUUGCUCCAAGAAAAACGACGACGUUACAAAAACCUCCCACCAAGCCCACUCUCUCUCCCAAUCCUCGGCCAUCUCCAUCUCCUAAAGAUCCCCAUCCAUCGAACCCUCCAACGCCUCUCACAAAAUCACGGCCCCGUAAUCUCUCUCUGGUUCGGCUCACAGCGUGUGGUCAUAGUAUCAUCCUCGUCCGCAGCCCAAGAAUGCUUCACCAAAAAUGACGUCGUCUUAGCCAACCGUCCUAGCAUGCUCAUAGGCAAGCACCUAGCCUACAACAACACCACCACCGCUACGUCCCAAUAUGGUGACCACUGGCGCAACCUCCGCCGCAUUGGGUCCACCGAGAUCUUCUCAACCUCUCGGUUAAACGCAUUCUUGAACGUCAGAAAGGACGAAGUCAAACACUUGCUGCUUAAACUUUCAGAAAACGUACACGAUGAUUUUGCGAAGGUGGAGCUCAAGUCUAUGUUUUAUGAGCUGACAUUCAACAUCAUAAUGAGAAUGGUGGCCGGGAAGAGAUACUACGGGGAGGAUGCGUCGGUGGACAAAGAGGAGGCGAGGCAGUUCAGAGAGAUCAUGAAGGAGGUUUUUGCUUAUACUGGGGUAGCGAACCCGGUUGACUUCUUGCCCGUUUUGAAUUGGGUUGGGAGUGAACGUGGGUAUGAGAAGAAGGUGAUGAAGCUGGCUAGGAAGACGGAUGCGUUCAUGCAAGGUCUCAUUGAUGAACACAGGAGCAAGGAUAAAAAUGGUAGCACAAUGAUUGACCAUUUGCUUUCUCUGCAGGACUCACAACCUGAGUAUUACAGUGACCAAAUUAUCAAGGGGCUUAUUCUGGUUAGUCCAAAAGUCUUUAUAUUUCAUGAAUUUAUUUUAGAGCAUGGUUUGGUUGCUUAAAGUUAAUGAGGAGCUAAAAAUUAAAGGAAUCCAAAAGCUAAAAAAAAAAAGUUAAAGAAAUUUGAUAACUGUCAAAAUUCUAUUUGUUUUGACGAACUCCUCCUCAAUUUUAAAGACACAUAUUUUGAUAUCGUGAGAUACACUAAAUCACAUCGGGAUGUUAAAAAAUGACUUUCCCUAGCCACAUGAAGUUUUAUUUAUAACACUCAAAGAAUAAAUAUUUUCAGGACAUGGUGCUGGCGGGUACUGACACAUCAUCAGUGACACUAGAAUGGGCCAUGUCGAAUUUGUUUAACCAUCCGGACGUGCUAAAAAAGCAAGAGCUGAACUGGAUGCUCAAUUAGGCCAAGAACAGUUGGUGGAGGAACAUGAUAUCUCUAAACUGCCCUAUCUUCAAAGUAUCAUCUCAGAGACUCUUCGAUUGUACCCAGCGGCCCCAAUACUACUACCACAUUUUUCAACAGAUGAUUGCACUAUUGGGGGAUACAAAGUGCCACGCGGUACCAUGGUAUUGGUCAAUGCAUGGGCUAUACAUAGAGAUCCAAAGUUGUGGGAUGAUCCUCAAAGCUUCAUACCCGAGAGGUUUGGGAGUGGUUAUGAUUUGUCAAGUCAACUCAUACCAUUUGGAUUGGGAAGAAGGUCUUGUCCAGGAUCGGGCCUUGCCCAACGUACGCUGGGCUUGACGUUGGGAUCAUUGAUACAAUGCUUUGACUGGGCGAGAAUUAGUGAGAAGGAAAUUGAUAUGACAGAAGGUAAAGGCUUCACAAUGCCUAAAGUUAUGCCAUUAGAGGUCAUGUGUAAAGCACGCCCGAUUAUCAACAAGGUUCUGAUUGUUUGAUCUAGAAGAACUAGUAAUAAUAUCCAGCUUUGGGAAGCAUUAUCAUUUUGGGAAUUAUUUCAGUUGUAUGUUUUAGGUCGUAGCGAGUAUUUGAUUUGGC